rnacentral:rRNA from 1 species
CCUACGGGAGGCAGCAGUGGGGGAUAUUGCACAAUGGGGGGAACCCUGAUGCAGCGACGCCGCGUGGGUGAAGAAGCGCCUCGGCGCGUAAAGCCCUGUCAGCAGGGGAGAAAAUGACGGUACCUGAAGAAGAAGCCCCGGCUAACUACGUGCCAGCAGCCGCGGUAAUACGUAGGGGGCAAGCGUUAUCCGGAUUUACGGGGUGUAAAGGGGGCGCAGACGGCGAUGCAAGCCAGGAGUGAAAGCCCGGGGCCCAACCCCGGGACUGCUCUUGGAACUGGGUGGCUGGAGUGCAGGAGGGGCAGGCGGAAUGCGUGGUGUAGCGGUGAAAUGCGUGGAUAUCAGGAGGAACACCGGUGGCGAAGGCGGCCUGCUGGACUGCAACUGACGUUGAGGCCCGAAAGCGUGGGGAGCGAACAGGAUUAGAUACCCGGGUAGUC